CACACCAGCAGCCAGGGAACUGAGGCAGUUGUGGUCCUUUACAUGGCUGUGCUCAUGGCACCAAUACAUGUUCACUCAGGACGUCAUCUGUGCACCACACAUAUUCAAGCCCAUAGAGAGUCCAAAAUCAAGGUUCUGGUUGCUUCUGUUUCUGGGAGUGGCACCAUUAGGAGGUGUGGCCUUGUUGGAGGAAGUGGGUCACUGUGGUGGUGAGAUUUGAGAUUUCCUAUGCUCGGGAGACCGCCCCGUGUCUCAGUCGACUUCCUAUGGCCUUCUGGUCAAGAUGUGGCCUGAACCACAUCUGCCUGUAUGCCACCAUGUUCCCCAUCAUGAAGAUAAUGGACUGAACCUCUGAAACUGUAAGCCACCCCAAUUAAAUGUUUUCUUUAUAAGAGUUGCCGUGGUCAUGGUGUCUCUUCACAGUAAUAAAAACCCUAAGACAUUGCA
rnacentral:lncRNA from 1 species